UGUGUCAUCUGUCACCGAGGCGAUUUUUGUUAUUAUUGUAUUUUUUUUACUAUUACAAAUAUAUAUUAGGAGAACGGUGGAAUAAAGAAAAACGAUUGGUCGGUAGUUGUCGGAUUCUUUAUGGUAUCCUGGUGUUUAUAUAAUCAUCAUUAUGCGCACAACGUAUUAUGAUAUCACGCAAAACAAAUAAUAGUAUCUCGAUUUGUUAUUGUAUGUAGAAAAAUAAGCGGGUACUGCUGAUGAGUGUGCUGACUGUUGUAGUUGGUAAGUCAGAACAACAGAGUAUAUUGUUAUAAACACAAUGAUAUUUACAUAAAAAUAAAACGAUAUUAACAUAAAUACAAAUUGAAAAUUUUAAAUGACUAUAAAUAGCUCAAAAACCGAUAGAAAAAUGUUGUAAAUACCACGUACCGCGUUUUUUAAAUGCUAAU